rnacentral:lncRNA from 1 species
CUCUGCUAGGGCACAACUUGGUGUGCAGCGCCGUCAACCCCCUUUGGGGGUCUCCUCCCCCAUUGGGGGGUUUUCUCCUCCACCAUGGAGGCUUUCCUCCCACAUUAGGUGGGUUCCUUCCCACAUCAGGUGGGUUUCUUCCACAUUAGGUGGAUUUCUUACCCAAAUAAGUGGGUUUUGUUUCUCUUGUUUUAGCUUGAGUUUCUCCCUUCCUUGGCCAUACACCCCAUCCUCCUCCCACCGCCACCCCCUCCUCCACCGGCCAACUCGUCGCCGCUGCCACCUCCAAAUCCGCCUCCUUUGCCUCCACCGCCAAAUCUGCCGCCACCUUCAACCAUCGGGUGUCAAAGCUCCAGAUCUAGAGCGUUCAUGUCUUUUUCAAAGGAACUAGGUCUCUGGUUUAGCCUCAAUGAUCCAGAAGCUCGACCUGUGGUGUGAUGCUCUGUUGCAACCUGUGCCUGAGGCCAUCUUCUUCU